GAAUUUAGAAAAUAACUAAAAGUAGCUAAUUUUAAAAUUAUCCUUUUAUCUGGCACUGAAGCUCAUAAGUCAUAAUGUUCCAAUCCUACAAACACACAUACUCUCUUUCUCUCUAUCUGUACAUCUAUCCAUGGCAUACAUAGAACAUACACAGACACACAAAAAGGAUCUACUGAGCAGUAGCCAUUACUUAUUUUUCUAUCAUCAGGACAAAAACACUAAAAACACCUCCCUAUCUUGAUCGAUUACUACAGAUGGAGUGUGUUUGUGGGUGCACAACUGAAUCAACACAGACAUCAGGUAUUCAAAACCCCAUUACACAGACAUCAGGUAUUCAACACAGACACAGACAUAGGAUUGAUCCACUUACGAUUUCUG
rnacentral:lncRNA from 1 species